AUAUCAAUAAGCGGAGGAAAAGAAACUAACAAGGAUUCCCCUAGUAACUGCGAGUGAAGCGGGAAAAGCUCAAAUUUAAAAUCUGGUGGUCUUUGGCCAUCCGAGUUGUAAUUUAGAGAAGCGUCUUCCGCGCUGGACCAUGCACAAGUCUCCUGGAAUGGAGCGUCAUAGAGGGUGAGAAUCCCGUCUUUGACACGGACUACCAAUGCUUUGUGAUGCGCUCUCAAAGAGUCGAGUUGUUUGGGAAUGCAGCUCAAAAUGGGUGGUAAAUUCCAUCUAAAGCUAAAUACAGGCGAGAGACCGAUAGCGCACAAGUA
rnacentral:rRNA from 1 species